GUUUUCUGCAACGUCAUAAAUGGUGAUUGGCUUUCCUGGAUUUGACAGCAUCCAAUCACUACAAGCUGUGCUGUAAUAUUUCUUUAAAGGUCCAAAAACACCUCUGUCUAAUGGCUGAAGCUUAUGGCUGGUAUAUGAAGGAAGGUGACCGAAAGUUUUUAAAUGAGAAACUACAAGAAAAAAACUUAUCAAGCUAACUGGAACGAAGAUGACAUUAAAAAUGCUAUUACAGCAGUAAAGUUAAAGCAGAUGUCUUUAUUAAAUGCUUGUAAAAACGUUAGUGUGCCAAAAGAUCCACUACAUCUGAGUAUUAAAAAGGCUUCACUUGAAAGUAAUUUACAUACUAAUUUACUUGGAAGAUUUAGAAAAGUUACUUUCUGAUAUUUAAGAACAAGGGUUAAAUAAGUAUAUUAAAGAUAUGAACAAUUUAUUUUUUGGUUUCUCUAUUAGACUUUUUAAAACGCCAUCCUAAUUUAUCAUUAAAAAAACCAGAAACAAUGUCUAUAAACAGAGUAUUUGGUUUGAAUGAAGAUAAUGUUAAAACGUAAUUUAGCAAUUUAGAGAAUUUGUCGGAUAAAUAUCACUUUGAGCCACAUUAAAUUUGUAAUUGUGAUGAGUCUGGGUUGUUAUGCGUCCAUAAGCCAUUAAAAUUUAUCUUAUCUGCAAGAAAACGGUGUAUUUCAUCAGUGACAAGUGGGGAAAAUGGAGUCACAACAACAAUUUUAUGUGAAUGUAAUUCUGUUGGUCAUUAUGUACCACCCAUGAUGAUAUUUAAGCCCCCAAAAAAAGAAAUUAUUACUCACAGAUAACGCUACAGCUUGAACUAUUCAAGGAUGCUCAGAAAAUGACUGGGUUAACACUGAUUUAUUUCUUGAAUAUAUACAACAUUUUAUUAAACAUGUACGAUGCACCUUAAAAAUUAAAAUUUUAUAUUUUAACAUCGUACAUGUUUAACUUUAUUAAACAUGUACGAUGCACCUUAAAAGCUUAAAAAUUAUAGACUAUGCUCGUGACAAUGGAUUGUUUUUGCUAUCGCUACCACCGCACACAACUCUUAAACCUCAACCAUUGGACCCCGGAUUUCUUAAACCUUUGAAAACCUUUUUUAAUCAAGCAUGAAUGAGAUGAAUGUGAAACUAUUCAGAAAAAUGAUAUCAAAUAGAAAAUUUUUAAUGAAGCAUUAAGAGCUGCUAAUAUAGAAAAUCCUACUUCAAGUUUUAGAGCAACUGGAAUUGUCCCAUUUAAUCAGCAUUUAUUAGAAAACCAACUUCCAAAGAUAUCGUUGAGUGAUAAUAAUAAAAUCAGGUUAUCUAUACCAUGUGAAAUUCACUUUAAACGCAAAAACAAAAAGAAAGUGAAACUUUACAGCACCCAGAGUCGACUACAUAUGUAUUAAUGAGUCAUUAAUUUAAAGUCAAUUGAAAGCUUUUCAGAGAUCACUGUUACUUCAUCAAGUUCUUUUAAAGACAUACUUCAAAUUCCAAAACUUUAUCCUCCAAAAAGAAAAUUACCUGGAAAAAAAAAUUUACUAAAAAAGAACAAUGACAAAAAAUUAAACAAGAGAAAUAUAUAAAAAAAAAAAACAAACAAAAAGAAAAGACAACUAAAAAAAAUGCUUGAUUGAAAAAGAUGUAAACAAUGAAAAGAAAUGGUUUUGUCCAGUUUGUCAAAGCAAAUGGUGCAAUAAUUCACAAAUUGUCUGGAUAGCUUGUUGUGUAUGUACUGUUUGGGUACACAAAGACUGCACAUCAUGCUUUUUGAUUUAAAAGGAAAAUUCACAUUAUCACGA